rnacentral:rRNA from 1 species
CAAAAGUGUAUAUUUAAGUUGUUGCGGUUAAAAAGCUCGUAGUUGGAUUUUGGGCGCAGGCGGCCGGUCCGUCGCAAGGCGUGUACUGGCCGUCCUGGCCUCACCUCCGGUUCUCCGCCGGUGCCCUUGACUGAGUGUCGGCGGCGGCCGGAACGUUUACUUUGAAAAAAUUAGAGUGUUCAAAGCAGGCGAUUCGCCUGAAUAAUGGUGCAUGGAAUAAUGGAAUAGGACCUCGGUUCUAUUUUGUUGGUUUUCGGAGCGCGAGGUAAUGAUUAAGAGGGACAGACGGGGGCAUUCGUACUGUGCCGUUAGAGGUGAAAUUCUUGGAUCGGCGCAAGACGAACGACUGCGAAAGCAUUUGCCAAGAAUGUUUUCUUUAAUCAAGAGCGAAAGUCAGAGGUUCGAAGACGAUCAGAUACCGUCCUAGUUCUGACUAUAAACGAUGCCAACUAGCGAUCGGGGGGCGUUAGUUUUACGACCUCUCCGGCAGCUUGCGGGAAACCAAAGUCUUUGGGUUCCGGGGGAAGUAUGGUUGCAAAGCUGAAACUUAAAGGAAUUGACGGAAGGGCACCACCAGGAGUGGAGCCUGCGGCUUAAUUUGACUCAACACGGGAAAUCUCACCCGGCCCGGACACAGUGAGGAUUGACAGAUUGAGAGCUCUUUCUUGAUUCUGUGGGUGGUGGUGCAUGGCCGUUCUUAGUUGGUGGAGCGAUUUGUCUGGUUAAUUCCGAUAACGAACGAGACUCUGGCUUGCUAACUAGUUACGCGACCCAAUCGGUCGGCGUCUAACUUCUUAGAGGGACUAGUGGCGUUUAGCCACACGAGAUUGAGCAAUAACAGGUCUGUGAUGCCCUUAGAUGUUCGGGGCCGCACGCGCGCUACACUGACCGGAUCAGCAUGUGCUCGCCUUGGCCGACAGGUCUGGGUAACCCGCUGAACCCCGGUCGUGCUAGGGAUAGGGAAUUGCAAUUAUUUCCCUUGAACGAGGAAUUCCCAGUAAGCGCGAGUCAUUAGCUC